GUGGAUGUGGCUAAAGUGGUAGAGCACUUGCCUAGAAAGCAUGAUGAUCUGAGUUCAAAUCCUAGUAUUACA
rnacentral:tRNA from 1 species